GCAACUCGGAGGCGGUGGUGUGCCGGGGCCCGGGCCGGCGAAGCGAGGAGCGGAGCGGAGAGACGCGACGGGACAGGCCCGGACCACGCGCACAGUCGUCCAGUAGCGCACAGUGUCUGGUCAGAUACAUUGUAGAAGAAUGCAGUCCUCAAAGAAUAAAAAUGUAGAUACGCCAGACCCAUUUUAUAGGCUUUCUGUGCCUAGGCAGAAGACCAGCGCUGAGAUUAUAAAUGAAGCGAGAAAUGCGUUAAGAACUUUAAGAUCUCAAAGGCCACUUACACCUCGAGAGUAUCAAAGGAAACUUUUUGGAUCUGCAUCUUCACGAACUCCUGAUGAUAGACCACCUUCUGCUUUUAGUCUCCACGCUUCCAGUUUUGAAUCUAGUGAAUCAAGACCAAUUUCUGGUGCACGGCUCAGCCCACUGGACCAUAAGCCAAAGCUGUUUUCAUCACCCACAAAAGAUCAGCAUUCUUCCACUCUCUUUCCAAAACCACCUGUGGACCCCCUGGAGGUUAGAAAAGUCAGCAGUGCCCGGGCACGCUUGUUUAGAACAACUUCUUGGGGAAGCGUGCCUGAUGAGAAUAAGGAAAGGCUGAAUUCUGAAGACCCAGCUAUGACAGGUGAUCUUUCAAAGAGAAGUAAUGAAAAUUGUUUAGCAGAAUUGAGUACACACUCUCAUAUUAAGGAUGAUGGUAUUCUGCUAAUGUAUAAAGAACGUAAUAUGUCAGAGAAGCAAGAUUUCUUAAAAGGAUCAGCAGCAGAACCUCCAUUGCAGCUAAGUGGGAGUGAUCAGAUUAAAAAACAUGGCAGGGCUGCGUCAUGUCCAAGCAACGCUGACUGGGAUAAAUCAGGAAAGCAAGAAGGUUUGAAGGAUGACUCAAAACUAAAUGAAUCAGAAGAGGAAGAAAACUACUGGAAUGUAAAGAUUUUACCAAUUUUGCGUGAAUUAGAGAGUGAAGACAAUAUAGAAAAGCUCUGCCUUGCCUGUACCAGUCUCUAUCAAGCCUUGGAAGAAGGGCAUAUGCUAGGAAAGAGAUUUAAAAGAAGAACUGUGCUUCUGAAGACAUUAUAUAAACUGGUUGACAUUGGUUCAGACCCACUUUGCCUGAAAUUGGCAAUAAUUAUUCUGGCUAUGAAAGUGAGUGGAAAGAAUAUGCUUAGUGUGUGCAAACUUGCAUUCAAAAUUUGCAGAAAUGAAAAAAAUGAUUUUCUUAUCCAAAAUGACAAACUAUUGGAUUAUUUGUUGGAGGUCCUGAGAAUUGAAGAUUUACAAGCAAACAAUGAAGCUCUUCUUUAUUGUAUGGGGGCUAUAAAAUUCAUUUCUGGAAAUGCAGCUAUUCUUAAUGAAAUGGCCAACAAAGGAGCUGUGGAAAUACUGCUGCAGUUAGUGAAGCAGAUUAAUAACAUUAGAGAAAAUGACACACAUUUCUCCAGCUUGGGUCAUCUCUUAGUCCAGCUGACAGCUACUUUACGAAACUUGGUUGAUUUACGUCAGUCAAGAUGCCAGUUCCUGUGCAGUGAUGCCAUUUCAGAGCUCUGUGAAGUCUUGGAGCAGCGUAUAAGUGAUAAAGAUGUGUGUACCAAUAUCGCCAGGAUAUUUAGCAAACUUUCUUCCUACAAUGACUGCUGUGCAGCUUUAGCAGACUGCUCCAGAUGUUAUAUCUUAUUUUUAGCCCUCCUAAACAAACACCAAAAGAAGCAGGAUUUGGUUGUUCGUAUUGUCUUCAUUCUUGGUAAUUUAACAGCAAAGAAUAACCAGGCCCGUGAGCAAUUUUUUAAAGAGAAAGGGUGUGUUAGCAUCCUGACAUCAUUAUUCCAAAUCUACGGUGAAUUUGAUAUGAAUGAAAAAAAAAGGAAGCAUGAAGCAGGAGAAGAAAAGAAAACCCAAAAGCAUCCUUCGGAAGCAGAAGAUGUCCUUAUAAAACUGAUAAGAGUGCUUGCUAAUCUCUCCAUUCAUCCCAGUAUAGGAGCAGCUCUGGCAGCUAAUCACUACAUCGUGGCACUACUCGUUAUGGUACUAGAAUACAAGUCAAUUGAUGACUGUGAGGAGCUGGUCAUCAGUGCAACAGCAACACUUAAUAGCUUAUCGUACUACCAAGUGAGGAAUUCUGCAGUUCAAGACAAGAAACUACACAUUGCUGAGCUGCUUUUAAAACUGCUAAUGAGCAGCAAUAUGGAUGGAAUUCUGGAGGCUGUGAGAGUCUUUGGUAAUCUUUCCCAGUACCAUGAAAUCUGUGACUUCAUUGUGAAGAGAAAGAUCUACAAGUUCAUGAUUGCUUUGCUCGAUGCCAAACAUCAAGAUGUAUGCUUUUCUGCCUGUGGAGUUCUGCUUAACCUUACUGUGGAUAAGAACAAACGAGGUAUACUGAAGGAAGAAGGAGGAAUUAGAAAAUUAAUAGAUUGCUUAAGAGACUUUGGGCCUACAGACUGGCAGCUGGCUUGCUUGAUAUGCAAAACCCUGUGGAACUAUAGUGAAAAUAUCACAAAUGCUGCCUCCUGCUUUGGGGAAGAAGAUAUCAGCACACUGCUCAUGCUACUUGCUUCUCUUUUAGAUGAGGAAGUAGCACUGGAUUACAAUUUCGACAAUGAUUUAAGAGAUUACCACAAAAUGUAUUGGGAGACAGAGUUCAAACCUGUGGCAGAGAAACUACUCAGCCGACUUCAAAGACAACUCUCCUUCUUUCAGCCUAUCACCGUGACUUCAUUUUAAUUCAGAAGUUAGAGGAGUUAGCAGUACAAACCCUAGAAUAUUUCAGUCAUUUAAAAUACUGAAGACAUCCCCAAUCACCAGCACCCAUGGCAGGGAAAAGACUUGUCACUUAAGAGCCAGGGAUAUCAUCAGCUAUUACAGAGAAGCUGAACUUAGCAAGCAAGCCUUUCUUCCAUGAAGGGAAUCUCUCCCAAUGGUAACUAUUUUAAAGUCCUCUGAUUUUACUAAACACUAUGUAUGCCUUCAGUGAUCCUACUGAAUUUUUAAAUAUGUAUGUCUCUCUAGAUUUGCAAUAUUUAAAUCUUUGUUUCCUGCAAUUAAAAGUUGUGUGUAAAAAUAAAUAUAAAUCACUAAACACAUUUUUGUUG